rfam:Glarea lozoyensis ATCC 20868 chromosome Tnknown GLAREA8, whole genome shotgun sequence.
GCCCUCGUAGCUCAAUGGUAGAGCGCGUCACUAGUAAACUCACUAUCACGUGAUAUGACGAGGUUGCCGGUUCGAUUCCGUCCGAGGGCA